GACGAACGCUGGCGGCGUGCUUAACACAUGCAAGUCGAGCGGUAAGGCCCUUCCGGGGGUACACGAGCGGCGAACGGGUGAGUAACACGUGGGUGACCUGCCCUCAGCUCUGGGAUAAGCCUGGGAAACCGGGUCUAAUACCGGAUAUGACUCCAUGACGCAUGUUGUGGGGUGGAAAGCCUUGUGCGGCUGAGGAUGGGCCCGCGGCCUAUCAGCUUGUUGGUGGGGUGAUGGCCUACCAAGGCGACGACGGGUAGCCGGCCUGAGAGGGCGACCGGCCACACUGGGACUGAGACACGGCCCAGACUCCUACGGGAGGCAGCAGUGGGGAAUCUUGCGCAAUGGGCGAAAGCCUGACGCAGCGACGCCGCGUGAGGGAUGACGGCCUCGGUU
rnacentral:rRNA from 1 species